GACGAACGCUGGCGGCGUGCUUAACACAUGCAAGUCGAACGGAAAGGCCCUGCUUUUGUGGGGUGCUCGAGUGGCGAACGGGUGAGUAACACGUGAGUAACCUGCCCUUGACUUUGGGAUAACUUCAGGAAACUGGGGCUAAUACCGGAUAGGAGCUCCUGCUGCAUGGUGGGGGUUGGAAAGUUUCGGCGGUUGGGGAUGGACUCGCGGCUUAUCAGCUUGUUGGUGGGGUAGUGGCUUACCAAGGCUUUGACGGGUAGCCGGCCUGAGAGGGUGACCGGCCACAUUGGGACUGAGAUACGGCCCAGACUCCUACGGGAGGCAGCAGUGGGGAAUAUUGCACAAUGGGCGGAAGCCUGAUGCAGCAACGCCGCGUGCGGGAUGACGGCCUUCGGGUUGUAAACCGCUUUCGCCUGUGACGAAGCGUGAGUGACGGUAAUGGGUAAAGAAGCACCGGCUAACUACGUGCCAGCAGCCGCGGUGAUACGUAGGGUGCGAGCGUUGUCCGGAUUUAUUGGGCGUAAAGGGCUCGUAGGUGGUUGAUCGCGUCGGAAGUGUAAUCUUGGGGCUUAACCCUGAGCGUGCUUUCGAUACGGGUUGACUUGAGGAAGGUAGGGGAGAAUGGAAUUCCUGGUGGAGCGGUGGAAUGCGCAGAUAUCAGGAGGAACACCAGUGGCGAAGGCGGUUCUCUGGGCCUUUCCUGACGCUGAGGAGCGAAAGCGUGGGGAGCGAACAGGCUUAGAUACCCUGGUAGUCUACGCUGUAAACGGUGGGUACUAGGUGUGGGGUCCAUUCCACGGGUUCCGUGCCGUAGCUAACGCUUUAAGUACCCCGCCUGGGGAGUACGGCCGCAAGGCUAAAACUCAAAGGAAUUGACGGGGCCCCGCACAAGCGGCGGAGCAUGCGGAUUAAUUCGAUGCAACGCGUAGAACCUUACCUGGGUUUGACAUGGAUCGGGAGCGCUCAGAGAUGGGUGUGCCUCUUUUGGGGUCGGUUCACAGGUGGUGCAUGGCUGUCGUCAGCUCGUGUCGUGAGAUGUUGGGUUAAGUCCCGCAACGAGCGCAACCCUUGUUCACUGUUGCCAGCACGUUAUGGUGGGGACUCAGUGGAGACCGCCGGGGUCAACUCGGAGGAAGGUGGGGAUGACGUCAAGUCAUCAUGCCCCUUAUGUCCAGGGCUUCACGCAUGCUACAAUGGCUGGUACAGAGAGUGGCGAGCCUGUGAGGGUGAGCGAAUCUCGGAAAGCCGGUCUCAGUUCGGAUUGGGGUCUGCAACUCGACCUCAUGAAGUCGGAGUCGCUAGUAAUCGCAGAUCAGCAACGCUGCGGUGAAUACGUUCCCGGG
rnacentral:rRNA from 1 species